GCGGAAGUGACGUAACCCCACCACCCCAGCCGCCUUCCCCCGCCUACUUCCGCCCCACCUAGCUUUAACUUCCGGGUCACGCCGCCCCCCCCCCGCCGGGGACCCCUCCUUUUCCGGCUGCGGGCAACCUGGCGGAAGUGACGCCCCCGCCGCCCCAUCUAGCUUUAACUUCCGGGUCACGCCGGCCACCCCCCCCCCCCUUUCCGGCUGCGGGCGACCUGGCGGAAGUGACGCAAUGCCGCGACCCCAGCCGCCCUCCUCCGGCGACUUCCGCCCAAUCUCGCUUUAACUUCCGGGUCACGCCGGCUCCCUCCUUCUCCUCGUCAUGGCGGAUUGCGCCGUGGGCCCCGCGCUUCUUCAGCGCUGAGGUGGAAGCGAGAUAAGCGGGCGCCACGUGGGGCGCAGAGACGAAGGAAGAGGGCCCACGGGUGUUCUUUCUUGAUAGGAAAAAAAUCCCCACGUUCUCUCUCCUCCUCGCAACUCAUUUCCCGAUCCUCAAUUCCGUGGAAGAGCCGCUUUACUCCUCCCACCAGCGGAAGUGCAUUUGUGGUAAAUGAGCUCCCUAGGGGAGGAAGGAACAGAUUGAGCAGGAACCCUAAACCCAACUGGUACCUUCCCCGCCCCCCGAAAAAAACAAACCCCAGCCGAUUUCCCUGCCUGCUCCAUUACUCAUCCUUCUCCCCUUUCCUGUUCUUGGUUGAGUCGUGCUGUCAGCCCGCCUCUUAGCGCCAUUGGCACAAUCGGCCCUCUGUCUCCGCCUUUUUCUGUCCUCAAUGUAGGUCGGGAUUAUCCCAAAACUUCCUUCUCUCUUGGAAAUAAUCUGUCCUCCGCACAGAGUGGUGAUCUCUCGCCCCCUAUUAAUGGCUGAGCUUUAGCCUCCCCUUUCCCUCUGCUCCCCCUCCCUUCUCCCUGCCCUCAGCACUGUGCUCAUUUGUAUAUAUAUAUAUUAUUUAUUACCCUGUUUAUUUUGUUAAUGAGGUGUAUAUCUCCUUGACUCUACUGAUCUUGAUGAUGAUGUCUUGUUUUUGUUUUGUCGUCCGUCUCCCCCGUGAGCAGGGAUGGUCUGUCUCUGUUGCCGACUUGUCCAUUGCAAGCGCUUAAUCCAGUGCCGUGCACACAGUAAGCGCUAUCAGCUGGGUGAUUUGGGGCAAGUCACUUCACUACCCUGGGCCUCAGUUCCCUCAUCUGUCAAAUGAAGACCGUGAGCCCUCCCCGGGGGACACCCUGAUCACCUUGUGCCUCAGUUCCCUCAUCUGUAAAAUGGGGAUGAAGACUGUGAGCCUCAUGUGGGGCAACCUGAUGACCCUGUAUAAUAAUGUUGGUAUUUGUUAAGCGCUUACUAUGUGCAGAGCACUGUUCUAAGCGCUGGGGGAGACACGGGGGAAUCAGGUUGUCCCACAUGGGGCUCACAGUCUUCAUCCCCAUUUUACAGAUGGGGUAACUGAGGCCCAGAGAAGUUAAGUGGCUUGCCCACAGUCACACAGCUGACAAGUGGCAGAGCUGGGAUUCGAACUCAUGACCCCUGACUCCAAAGCCCAUGCUCUUUCCACUGAGCCACGCUGCUCCCCCAGCACUUAGAACAGUGCUCUGCACAUAGUAAGCGCUUAGCAAAUACCGACAUUGUUAUUGUAUCUUCCCCCAGCACUCAGAAAAGUGCUCUGCACAGAGUAAGCGCUUAACAAAUACCGACAUUAUUAUUGUAUCUUCCCCCAGUGCCCAGAAAAGUGCUCUGCACAGAGUAAGCAGUUAAAUACCGACAUUAGUAUUAUAUUUCCCCCAGCGCUUUGAACAGUGCUCUGCACAGAGUAAGCGCUUAAUAAAUACCGACAUUAUUAUUGUAUUUUCCCCAGCGCUCAGAACAGUGCUCUGCACAGAGUAAGCGCUUCACAAAUACCGACAUUAUCAUUGUAUCUCCCCCAGCGCUCAGAACAUAGUAAAGCGCUUAACAAAUAUCGACAUUAUUAUUGUAUCUCCCCCAGUGCUCAGAACAUAGUAAGGGCUUAACAAAUCCGUUAUUAUUGUAUCUCCCCCAGCGCUCAGAACAUAGUAAGCGCUUAACAAAUAACAUUAUUAUUAUUAUUAUUUUUAUGUCGGACAACCUGAUAACCCUGUAUAACAAAUAACAUUAUUAUUAUCAUUAACAAAUAUUAUUAUUAUUAUUUUUAGGUGGGACAACGUGAUAACCCUGUAUCUCCCCCAGCGCUCGGAACAGUGCCCUGCACAUAGCAAGCGCUUAACAAAUACCAACAUUAUUAUUGUCUCUCCCCCAGCGUUCAGAACAUAGUAUUCAUUCAUUCAAUAGUAUUUAUUGAGCGCUUACUAUGUGCAGAGCACCGUACUGAGCGCUUGGAAUGGACACAUCGGCAACAGAUAACAGAUAGUAGGCGCUUAACAAAUACUGACAUUCCGCCGCUAGUCAGCUGUGUAACCUUGGGCAAGUCACUUAACAUCUCUGUGCCUCAGUCACCUCAUCUGUACAAUGGGGAUUAAGCAACUGUGAGCCCCACGUGGGACAGCCUGAUCGCCUUGUAUUGCCCCCCCCCCCCCAGGGCUUAAUAAUAAUAAUAAUGUUGGUAUUUGUUAAGCGCUUACUAUGUGCAGAGCACUGUUCUAAGCGCUGGGGUAGACACAGGGGAAUCAGGUUGUCCCACGUGGGGCUCGCAGUUGCUUAAUCCCCAUUUUACAGAUGAGGUAACGGAGGCACAGAGAAGUGAAGUGACUUGCCCAGAGUCACCCAGCCGACAAGUGGCAGAGCCGGGAUUCGAACCCAUGACCUCCGACUCCCAAGCCCAUGCUCUUUCCCACUGAGCCACGCUGCUUUGCCCAUAAGUAAGCGCUUGACAAAUCCCACCAUUUUAGGGUGUCUCCCCCAGCGCUCAGAACAUAGUGAGCGCUUAGCCGAUACCGACAUUAUUAGAAAUACGACGGAACGAAUGCCUGCCGCUUUGCCAUCCCCCCCCCCCCCCGCCUUUGUAUGAUGAUGGUACUGUCCCCAACGCCCCCAAAGGGCGUGUCUUAAUAAUAACGUCGGUAUGUGCAGAGCACUGUGCUAAGCGUCUCGAAGGGAUCUUCCCUCCGGGUGGACUGUGACCUUUUUUCUUUU
rnacentral:lncRNA from 1 species